rnacentral:miRNA from 1 species
UCUGUUUAGCCUUGGCUGUCCUGGAACUCACUCUGUAGACCAGGCUGGCCUUGAACUCAGAAAUCCACCUGCCUCUGCCUCCUGAUUGCUGGGAUUAAAGGCAUGCGCCACCAUGCCCG